rnacentral:rRNA from 1 species
UGGGGAAUAUUGCACAAUGGGCGCAAGCCUGAUGCAGCCAUGCCGCGUGUGUGAAGAAGGCCUUCGGGUUGUAAAGCACUUUCAGCGAGGAGGAAGGUGGUGAGCUUAAUACGCUCAUCAAUUGACGUUACUCGCAGAAGAAGCACCGGCUAACUCCGUGCCAGCAGCCGCGGUAAUACGGAGGGUGCAAGCGUUAAUCGGAAUUACUGGGCGUAAAGCGCACGCAGGCGGUUUGUUAAGUCAGAUGUGAAAUCCCCGGGCUCAACCUGGGAACUGCAUUUGAAACUGGCAAGCUAGAGUCUCGUAGAGGGGGGUAGAAUUCCAGGUGUAGCGGUGAAAUGCGUAGAGAUCUGGAGGAAUACCGGUGGCGAAGGCGGCCCCCUGGACGAAGACUGACGCUCAGGUGCGAAAGCGUGGGGCAGCAAACAGGAUUAGAUACCCUGGUAGUCCACGCUGUAAAACGAUGUCGAUUUUGGAGGUUGUGCCCCUUGAGGCGUGGNUUCCGGAGCUAACGCGUUAAAUCGACCG